AACGAACGCUGGCGGCAUGCCUAACACAUGCAAGUCGAACGAGACCUUCGGGUCUAGUGGCGCACGGGUGCGUAACGCGUGGGAACCUGCCCUUAGGUUCGGAAUAACUCCCCGACAGGGGUGCUAAUACCGGAUAAUGUCUUCGGACCAAAGAUUUAUCGCCUUUGGAUGGGCCCGCGUUGGAUUAGCUAGUUGGUAGGGUAAAAGCCUACCAAGGCGACGAUCCAUAGCUGGUCUGAGAGGAUGAUCAGCCACACUGGGACUGAGACACGGCCCAGACUCCUACGGGAGGCAGCAGUGGGUAAUAUUGGACAAUGGGCUAAAGCCUGAUCCAGCAAUGCCGCGUGAGUGAUGAAGGCCUUAGGGUUGUAAAGCUCUUUUACCCGGGAUGAUAAUGACAGUACCGGGAGAAUAAGCUCCGGCUAACUCCGUG
rnacentral:rRNA from 1 species